AGACAGAAUAGAGCUAGCUAGCUAGACAAGGAAGCUGAGGUUGGGGUUAGGGGUUUUAAGCUCAUGUUUUACACCUGGAGAUUCCUAGUUCAGGUCCAAGUGUUUCUAGGAAGAAUAUUGUUAUGUAAAUAGGUUUGUUUGGCGGGAAGUUCGAAUUAACUGACCCUCAGCUGAUUGGCCUAACAAAUAUGGCCCACUGUACUUUACAACACUGUUGAACCAUUAGCAGCCCAAGCAAAUGAUUCAGGCUACAGUAUUACGAUUCUGCCCUCCCCAAACAUGUCAGAAGAAAGCUUUCUAUUUAUUUGUCUGUGUUCUGAACAAACAGAUUGUGUACAUUUAGUGUUACAGUUCUGUUUCCUGCUUUUCGGAAUGAGAUGCUAAAAAUCCACCCAUUAUUCAACUUUGAAAGCGUUUCUUUUCCUACAACAGUAUUUUGAUCAAUGUGUGCUUAAUCUCUUAUCUGUGAUUUCAUUAUUUAUCUUGACUGUGGUAAUUCUGUUCGAUGUAGUCUAAAUCUAGCAGCUCGAAGCUUA